AACGAACGCUGGCGGCAUGCCUAACACAUGCAAGUCGAGCGCCUGUAGUAAUACAGGAGCGGCGCACGGGUGAGUAACGCGUGGGAACCUGCCCUUAGGUUCGGAACAACCGCGGGAAACUGCGGCUGAUACCGGAUGAUUUCUUCGGACCAAAGAUUUAUCGCAGUUGGAGGGGCCCGCGUGGGAUUAGGUAGUUGGUGAGGUAACGGCUCACCAAGCCUGCGAUCCGUAGCUGGUCUGUGAGGAUGCCCAGCCACACUGGGACUGAGACACGGACCAGACUCCUACGGGAGGCAGCAGUGGGGAGUAUUGGACAAUGGGGGCAACCCUGAUCCAGCAAUGCCGCGUGGGUGAUGAAGGCCUUCGGGUUGUAAAGCCCUUUCGGCGGGGACGAUGAUGACGGUACCCGCAGAAGAAGCCCCGGCUAACUUCGUGCCAGCAGCCGCGGUAACAC
rnacentral:rRNA from 1 species